UUGAACGCUGGCGGCAUGCUUUACACAUGCAAGUCGAACGGCAGCACGGGGGCACCCUGGUGGCGAGUGGCGAACGGGUGAGGAAUGCAUCGGAACGUAUCUUCAAGUGGGGGAUAACGCAUCGAAAGGUGUGCUAAUACCGCAUAAUCUCUGAGGAGAAAAGCAGGGGAUCGCAAGACCUUGCGCUUUUGGAGCGGCCGAUGUCUGAUUAGCUUGUUGGUGAGGUAAAAGCUCACCAAGGCUUCGAUCAGUAGCUGGUCUGAGAGGACGACCAGCCACACUGGGACUGAGACACGGCCCAGACUCCUACGGGAGGCAGCAGUGGGGAAUUUUGGACAAUGGGGGAAACCCUGAUCCAGCCAUGCCGCGUGAGUGAAGAAGGCCUUCGGGUUGUAAAGCUCUUUCAGCCGGAACGAAACGGUUACGGUUAAUACCCGUGACUACUGACGGUACCGGAAGAAGAAGCACCGGCUAACUACGUGC
rnacentral:rRNA from 1 species